AGAUCCCCACAACCCCUGGAAAAGCCGGACCUGGCAGUGUAAGCGGUAACCCCAGUGGAGCUUGGGGACACGGGAGACCAGCAAACCUCGAGGCCUGCUGGCCAGCCAGCCUGGCUGAGUCAGUGAGCUCCCCGUCCUGUGACGGACCCUGUUUCAAAAAAAAUAAAUGGAGAAUAAUCAAGGAAAGACAUCUGAUGUUGACCUCCGUGCCCUACAUGCUUGCAUGCAGAUAUACACAUCUAUCUGCAAGCACACAUACUAAGAAUUGUGUACACCGUACACACACAAUACAACACGAACGUGCCACUCCCACCAAACCAAACCAGAACAAACACCAAACCGAACGAAUGCUGCUAAACAUUGGAAAAUCGCCUUUCUUGGGUUAGGUGACCUAAAUUUAGGGAGGCCGCUAUCCAAGAACUUCCAAAUAACCAAAGGGAGACCAGAAGCAUGUUGAAGAGGGUAUUUUAAUGAAAGCAGACUACAGGAAGACACCAGCUAGCUUUGCAUGAAGCAGGAGGGCAGGUGAACUAGGAAAACAGCAAAGAACCAACUGCCUAUGCUCAGGCUUUUACUGACCUGGGCACGGUCUGUCCACGGAUGUGCGAUUCUUGAAUGCCAAAAUUUUGCUCUAGGAAGAAAUAAUUAACCACACUCUAUCGUUUUAGUUUUAACUUUGCUGUUGGCUAAUGGCCUUUCUGUGUAGCUCCAAAAUGGGAUGGGUGUCAGAGCAAGCCCAACCCAUUUGCUCCUCUGCAUCUGUGGUUAAGCUUGUGGUAGCUUUGUGCCAGGAAGGAAUCAUUACAUCUACCUUGCAAUGUCAGUUGACUCCUCAGCUUUGAACCGGCUGCUGAUCGUCUCUCAGCUCACAGGUGCCGUGAAUCAGUCUCAAGACCCAUGUCAUAAAGAAGCCGGAGCUAAGAAGACUUGAAGUGCUACUGAGUGGUUGUGCGUUCCUGUAAUCCCAGUACUAAGGAGGAGGGGACAGGAGGAUCAGGGGUUCAAGGUCACGUGGGUUACACGAUGAGUCCAAGGCCAGUCUGGGCUGCACAGGCCACUGUCUAAGAACACAAAAUGCAGACAGACAACCAGGGAGCUAAACAAUCUGCUGAACUUACGUAAAACUCCUAGCUUGCUCUCUUCCCACCCCAUCCCCUCGGUAACCUUCUAGCAAAUCUUCCUGCAAGUGCAUUUGCUGAUUCCACAGACAGAAGACUCUCAGAGAUCACGGUGUUCCUUCCUAGCAAGCAUUCGUGUGUACGCCCAGCAUCACCGUGGCUCCUUGGGUACCAGUGAUAUGGAACAAAGAGCUCUGUUUGGGUGCCCUGGUCUAGUGGUAAAGAAAGAUCAAUGCACAAUGAAUGAAGCUUUUAUAGAGAAGCUGUGCAAACGUUACCCAAGGAUGUCACGAACGCUUCCGGCAGCUACUGUGUCUUACGUGUUUGUGACAUGACAGGCAGUAAUCUAGGUUCUUAUUUUAAACAUUUACUCAGUCUUCUGAAAAUAAUCUCCCCAGGGAGGAGGAGACGGGCAGGAGACAGCAGUCACCGAGAAGCUACAUAGCUGGCUUUCAAGGUGCACAUCGUAAACUAACGCGUAUCUACCAAGUUUUUCUCAGUCCGAUUCAGAGAAAAACAUGUCUGAGUUUGGUGAUGUCUUCUCAUGACCUUCAUGAGACACAUGUGUCAUUGUAGUUCAUGUUUUAUGAUGUGCUAGCUAACAUGAUUUCUGUGGAGAGAGAAUGAAAUAUGAAGGUGUCCCCAAAAAAACUACCUUGGUUUCUUAUACAUCUGCUAACUCAUUUGAUUUAGGGAAUAGAUUUCAUUAGGGAUAACUUUCUCUGCCUGUGCCAGCUAGAUAGCCACUUCCACCAGGGAGAGUCUUCUUUUCCAGGUAACCUGUACACACUGUCAACCAGACUAUCCACCACUCUGUAACAGCAGUCACGAAGGAAACCAGUUUGAGUGACUGGCCUUGACUUGUUAGAGAAAUAAUUCAGAGCAGGAUAAUCAGCUCUGGUUUCCCAGUGUUGUUUGCACAAAAGGAAAAAAAAAAGCAGCAGCAUCUCACGGACCUUAAAGGAGUUCUCUGGAGAACGAGAACUACACAGAAGUGAACUCACGAGUCAGAAGAACAAGAGUUGGAAAUUCACACGGGUGAGAUUCAUGAGGAAGGGAGUCCAUGAAACUUUUCAGCAAUAGUUGGGCCUGUAAGGGAGUACAGGGGUAGAGAAGGGCAGAUGAGAAUGGCUUAUCUUCAGAGUCAGUUUAAGACCUGUUCUCGGGUUAGGGAGCCAAAGAAAGGAUCGAAAGAGUAGAGGUUCCUUCUUAAGAUUCGAACAUAGACUGUUGUACGCAGGCUUGUGUUUUGAAUGCUUGUUCCCUCAGCUGCUGAGGUUGUCUUCGGGUCUAUAGAGCUGAUGGUGGCAUUCUCUGGGGCAGACUUGUGGAAGUUACAAAGUUGGACCCUAAUUCCUGGCUGGUGCAGAGCUUCCUGGUCUCCUGGGAUAUGAACAGUAUUUGGCAUGAGGUGAACUGCUCCCCAUGCCCUACCCACUGCAACGGUCCAAAGCUCUUAGAAACCAGAAGCCAAUGUAAAUCCUUCCUUCCUUGUUUCUGGCAGGCAUUCUAGCCACUUGUGUAAAAACAACCAACACAGAAAAUGGACACUGGAGAAACAGUGAGCAAAUUUGGUUUGAGGAUUUGGAAAAGUCUGGAGAGGUAAAAUAGAGAGUCCUUCGGAUUCUGUGACCAGAAAUUGAUCAGAGUUCAGAAGGCCACACUGUCGCCAGGCAGGCAGACAGUAAUGAGGGCCAUCAGGGGGUUUCAGGUGGGAACUGGAGGCCAUUCAUGUUACUUUUUGUUAAAAAGAAAAUCUACCUUUUGCAGAAAUAAUAAUAACCUUGGGGUGUGGCCUUGGAGGAAUUGUGACAAGGGAUUGGACUUUUGAGCUUUUAAAAGCCCCCUGUCACCCGCAGCGUGUGCUCUAACUUGCUUGUGGUUUGAUAUCUGUAUACUCAGAGGUUCUUGCUGCUGUGCCUUUCUUCUGCCAUUUUGGAUUCUAACCCCGGGGAACUAUACGCCAAGUCAAACACUUCCUUUCUCAAGUUGCCUGGGGUUUUAUCACAGCAACAGAAAAGUGACAAAGAUAUCUACCAUGAUGGGCUGUGGCCCCAUCCAAACCAAUUAAACUCCUCUCGGGUGGUUUCUGUCAGGGGUAUUUUGGUCACACUGAUACAAAACCAAGAAACUCACCUCUUAGAGAACCAUCCCCUUCACGCGCAGGGCCUUCACUUGCCGUGUCACUUGUGUGACUCAUGCAACCCUCUUCCUGCUUAGCCGUACUUGACUUAUGCAAGAGACCCCUGACAUAAAUGGAGCCUAUAAGGGUUGUCUCUGAGGACUUUUGAAGUUUGAAGUUUGAAGAGAAAAAGACGCGAAUUGUCCAGACUACAGAAUGAGGUCUAGGGUUGGAUUGUUGCUACUGACUGGAGCUAUCCUGCGGCUAGCCUUCUUACAGACUGGCCAUUCAGAUUUUCUUUCACUAUCUACUCGUUUAUAUUUAAGCGAGCCGACUUUGAUUUCUAUGAUUUGAAAGUAGCAGAACCUUAUCCAAGACAGCAACACAGCUAGAAAUACCUCUCCAGGUUUCAAUGGUAUGUUCUCAACUCUAAGAAAGAUUGACAAGUCAGUUAGUU
rnacentral:sRNA from 1 species